rnacentral:rRNA from 1 species
GACGAACGCUGGCGGCGUGCUUAACACAUGCAAGUCGAACGGAAAGGCCCUGCUUUUGUGGGGUGCUCGAGUGGCGAACGGGUGAGUAACACGUGAGUAACCUGCCCUUGACUUUGGGAUAACUUCAGGAAACUGGGGCUAAUACCGGAUAGGAGCUCCUGCUGCAUGGUGGGGGUUGGAAAGUUUCGGCGGUUGGGGAUGGACUCGCGGCUUAUCAGCUUGUUGGUGGGGUAGUGGCUUACCAAGGCUUUGACGGGUAGCCGGCCUGAGAGGGUGACCGGCCACAUUGGGCCUGAGAUACGGACCAGACUCCUACGGGCGGCAGAAGUGGGGAAUAUUGCACAAUGGGCGGAAGCCUGAUGCAGCAACGCCGCGUGCGGGAUGACGGCCUUCGGGUUGUAAACCGAUUUCGCCUGUGACGAAGCGUGAGUGACGGUAAUGGGUAAAGAAGCACCGGCUAACUACGUG